AAAUGAUUUUAAUUCAAAAUAUGAAAGAGGAUUUUAUUUAAAUUUUUUUGGUGAAACUCUCAUAUUUUUUGGAUCAAUAUUAUAAUGAUUUUAAUUCAAAAUAUGAAAGAGGAUUUUAUUUAAAUUUUUUUGGUGAAACUCUCAUAUUUUUUGGAUCAAUAUUAAAAUUAAUAUGAAUUAAUGAAAAUCAAAGGAAUAAAAUGAAAAUCAAAGGAAUAAAAUGAAAAUCAGAAAAU
rnacentral:lncRNA from 1 species